AGCGAACGCUGGCGGCAGGCCUAACACAUGCAAGUCGAACGAACUCUUCGGAGUUAGUGGCGGACGGGUGAGUAACACGUGGGAACGUGCCUUUUGGUUCGGAAUAACUCAGGGAAACUUGUGCUAAUACCGAAUGUGCCCUUCGGGGGAAAGAUUUAUCGCCAUUAGAGCGGCCCGCGUCUGAUUAGCUAGUUGGUGAGGUAACGGCUCACCAAGGCGACGAUCAGUAGCUGGUCUGGGAGGAUGACCAGCCACACUGGGACUGAGACACGGACCAGACUCCUACGGGAGGCAGCAGUGGGGAAUCUUGCGCAAGGGGCGAAAGCCUGACGCAGCCAUGCCGGGUGAAUGAUGAAGGUCUUAGGAUUGUAAAAUUCUUUCACCGGGGACGAUAAUGACGGUACCCGGAGAAGAAGCCCCGGCUAACUUCGUG
rnacentral:rRNA from 1 species